GCGAGCUUGGGUGAAGGUCAGUUGGCUGCCUGCUACAAAGGCCCUACCACUUCCAGCCUCCCGGGGGCAGCCCUCGACAAUCAAUGUGUUCAGUGACCAGCUCAGGGCCCUGAGUGCCAGGCUUCACUGUUCUGCUGAAGGACCUUUAAGUGUUGACACGUCUUCAUCUUCCUGCUCUCAUUUACAAAAAAAUACUCCCAAAAAUGUCUUCCAAGGAAAAUUAGUUUGGGGUGUUGCGCCUCACAGGAUGUAAAAGCACAGUUGUGGCAGAAGAAUUUUGAAAACCAGAGAGUGCUACUAAAAUACCAGGCACUGGGGAAGGGAUUCUAAGAGUCCCUGGACUGAGGGGCAGCAAGGAAUUGAGGUCUCUUCACAAGCUGCCAUUUUCUUG